GAUGAACGCUAGCGGCAGGCCUAAUACAUGCAAGUCGAGGGGUAUGGGAGAGCUUGCUUUCCCUGAGACCGGCGCACGGGUGCGUAACGCGUAUGCAACCUACCCUUUUCUGGGGGAUAGCCCGAAGAAAUUCGGAUUAAUACCGCAUAAGACCACGACACGGCAUCGUGACGGGGUCAAACAUUUAUGGGAGAAGGAUGGGCAUGCGUGCCAUUAGCUAGUUGGCGGGGUAACGGCCCACCAAGGCGACGAUGGCUAGGGGAUCUGAGAGGAUGGCCCCCCACACUGGUACUGAGAAACGGACCAGACUCCUACGGGAGGAAGCAGUAAGGAAUAUUGGUCAAUGGAGGCAACUCUGAACCAGCCAUGCCGCGUGCAGGAAGACGGCCCUCUGGGUUGUAAACUGCUUUUGUACGGGAAUAAACCUCCGAUCGUGAUCGGAGCUGAAUGUACCGUAAGAAUAAGGAUCGGCUAACUCCGUGCCAGCCGCCGCCGUAACAC
rnacentral:rRNA from 1 species